CCCUCCCCGCAUCCCAUCCCUCCAGGUCAUCACAGAGCGCCAGACUGGACUUAUAUACAGGGACUUCUCGCCGGCCAUCCAUCCUACACCUCAUCAUGUAUAUAUGUUGAUGCUACUUUCUUCAUUGUCCCCUCCUUCCCUGACUGUGUCCACAAGUCCAUUCUCUACAUCUGUAUCUUCUAAAACCAUCAUAUGUAGUAACUCUGCAAACGUUAUGGCUUUCAUCAGAGAACGAUCAUUCCUCUGUUGACUCUGACAGUGGGCUCAUUCUCUGAACAUCCUGGGGCACACACAGAACUUCAGCACACAUCCACCUGUUCUCAGAGGCCCCCCCCCCCCCCCCCCGCACUAGGCGGAUUACCUUGUAGGACAAACAGCUCUAUGAUGCCAUCUAUCUCCUGGUUUUUGUCACUGCCUUUAAAAACCCUUGAUGGUUCUGAAAGUGCUUUCUGGGGUCCACCAUGAUGCUCUGCACACGGCUGCAAAGGGGAAAGGCUGUCUGCAGAGGCUGGAUGAGUGUUCCUCUCUCUCUGGUGGACUUUCCUGGCCCAGAAAGCUGCAUGGGGUGACGGAGGUAAAACGGAAGACUCUGCUUAAGUCAACAGCGGGUAACAACUGUAAGGAGGGCAGCCGUCGGAGAACCUCAUGGAUGUUCUGAGUCUGGCCUGAUUAGGAGGAAGAGUCAAGCAUGAUCACAGACAAAACUGAUGGGGAUGGAAGUAUCUGGGUGAGGAGGGUAGCCUGGAAUGGAGGCAGGCAAACAAGAAAAGAAAGCGGGAGAGAGACCAGUUGGAGAGACUGUAUACCUGCAUCAGACCCUCCUAAAGUCCCCACAGUACAGAAGAUCAAGAUGAGUGCAACUGUCUGCUCCCCGAAGGAGAGGGGUUUCUGAAGAGGAAGUGGGCAGAGAUACAUGGCAAUGGAUUACCUGGAAGCAAGAGGAGAACAACCUGAAAAAGAACAUUUUCUAUGCUCCUUAUAUUGAAGGAUCUUGCUGAAUAAAUGGUUGGUAAGUAGAGAAGGAAUUACAAUGUAAUAGUUAGCCAGCCAAUUUCUGCUUAUUUAAUUAAGUAUGCUUUUCCCAUUCCUGGCAAAUUCUUUUGAUUGACAUACAUAUUCCCCUUCUUCUUUUAUAUAGAUGCUUCUAUGUCCAUUCACACUGUUCCUCAAGACCAACAGGGAAAAUACUUCCCAAAGCAAUGUUCUGGGACAAGUAAAGCUAUCAAACAUCAAACAAAAUUACAUCAUUUUUUUUUCCUUCUUUAAUCAUCUCUUACCUUCUGCCUCUUCAGGGAAACAGUUCAUCUUUAUUUCCAUUGUGUGAUAAAGCAUUUUCUAACCAAAUCAGCAAAAAACUCCAUUCAAAGUCGACAACCAGAUUUUUAGACAUAAAACACACACCAGUUCUGUCUGGCACAAAGU
rnacentral:lncRNA from 1 species